rnacentral:rRNA from 1 species
UACGAAGGUCCCAAGCGUUAUCCGGAUUUAUUGGGUUUAAAGGGUGCGUAGGCGGGCUAUUAAGUCAGUGGUGAAAGCCCCAAGCUUAACUUGGGAACUGCCAUUGAUACUGAUGGUCUUGAGUACAUUUGAGGUGGGCGGAAUGUGUCAUGUAGCGGUGAAAUGCUUAGAUAUGACACAGAACACCGAUUGCGAAGGCAGCUCACUAAACUGUAACUGACGCUGAGGCACGAAAGCGUGAGGAGCAAACAGG